rnacentral:rRNA from 1 species
UACAGAGGUCCCGAGCGUUGUUCGGAUUUAUUGGGCGUAAAGGGUGCGUAGGUGGCAAAGUAAGUUGGAUGUGAAAUCCUGGGGCCUAAACCCCAGAAUUGGCAUUCCAAUACUGCUUAGCUAGAGAGCUGUAGAGGAGACUGGAAUUUACGGUGGUAGCAGUGAAAUGCGUAGAUAUCGUAAGGAACGCCAGUGGCGAAAGCGAGUCUCUGGGCAGCAUCUGACACUGAGGCACGAAGGCCAGGGGAGCAAACGGG